CACGUAGGGUGCAAGCGUUGUCCGGAAUCAUUGGGCGUAAAGAGCUCGUAGGCGGCUUAGUAAGUCGGGUGUGAAACCUCCAGGCUCAACCUGGAGACGCCACCCGAUACUGCUAUAGCUAGAGUCCAGUAGGGGAGACUGGAAUUCCUGGGUGUAGCGGUGAAAUGCGCAGAUAUCAGGAGGAACACCGGUGGCGAAGGCGGGUCUCUGGGCCGAAACUGACGCUGAGGAGCGAAAGCGUGGGGAGCAAACAGG
rnacentral:rRNA from 1 species